CAGUAGCCACGGGAAAACGUAGGGCGCAAGCGUUGUCCGGAAUUAUUGGGCGUAAAGAGCUCGUAGGCGGUCUGUCGCGUCUGGUGUGAAAUCCCGAGGCUCAACCUCGGGCUUGCAUCGGGUACGGGCAGACUAGAGUGCGGUAGGGGAGACUGGAAUUCCUGGUGUAGCGGUGGAAUGCGCAGAUAUCAGGAGGAACACCGAUGGCGAAGGCAGGUCUCUGGGCCGCAACUGACGCUGAGGAGCGAAAGCAUGGGGAGCGAACAGGAUUAGAUACCCCCGUAGUCCCUGUCUCUUAUAA
rnacentral:rRNA from 1 species